GUUGUUGGGUAGGGGAGCGUUCUGUAAGCCUGUGAAGGUGGCCUGUGAGGGUUGCUGGAGGUAUCAGAAGUGCGAAUGCUGACAUAAGUAACGAUAAAGCGGGUGAAAAGCCCGCUCGCCGGAAGACCAAGGGUUCCUGUCCAACGUUAAUCGGGGCAGGGUGAGUCGACCCCUAAGGCGAGGCCGAAAGGCGUAGUCGAUGGGAAACGGGUUAAUAUUCCCGUACUUGGUGUUACUGCGAAGGGGGGACGGAGAAGGCUAUGUUGGCCGGGCGACGGUUGUCCCGGUUUAAGCGUGUAGGUGUGUGUUCCAGGUAAAUCCGGUUCACUUUAACACUGAGGCGUGAUGACGAGGCACUACGGUGCUGAAGCAACAAAUGCCCUGCUUCCAGGAAAAGCCUCUAAGCAUCAGGUAACAUCAAAUCGUACCCCAAACCGACACAGGUGGUCAGGUAGAGAAUACCAAGGCGCUUGAGAGAACUCGGGUGAAGGAACUAGGCAAAAUGGUGCCGUAACUUCGGGAGAAGGCACGCUGACACGUAGGUGAAGUGAUUUACUCAUGGAGCUGAAGUCAGUCGAAGAUACCAGCUGGCUGCAACUGUUUAUUAAAAACACAGCACUGUGCAAACACGAAAGUGGACGUAUACGGUGUGACGCCUGCCCGGUGCCGGAAGGUUAAUUGAUGGGGUCAGCGCAAGCGAAGCUCCUGAUCGAAGCCCCGGUAAACGGCGGCCGUAACUAUAACGGUCCUAAGGUAGCGAAAUUCCUUGUCGGGUAAGUUCCGACCUGCACGAAUGGCGUAAUGAUGGCCAGGCUGUCUCCACCCGAGACUCAGUGAAAUUGAACUCGCUGUGAAGAUGCAGUGUACCCGCGGCAAGACGGAAAGACCCCGUGAACCUUUACUAUAGCUUGACACUGAACAUUGAGCCUUGAUGUGUAGGAUAGGUGGGAGGCUUUGAAGUGUGGACGCCAGUCUGCAUGGAGCCGACCUUGAAAUACCACCCUUUAAUGUUUGAUGUUCUAACGUGGACCCGUAAUCCGGGUUGCGGACAGUGUCUGGUGGGUAGUUUGACUGGGGCGGUCUCCUCCUAAAGAGUAACGGAGGAGCACGAAGGUUGGCUAAUCCUGGUCGGACAUCAGGAGGUUAGUGCAAUGGCAUAAGCCAGCUUGACUGCGAGCGUGACGGCGCGAGCAGGUGCGAAAGCAGGUCAUAGUGAUCCGGUGGUUCUGAAUGGAAGGGCCAUCGCUCAACGGAUAAAAGGUACUCCGGGGAUAACAGGCUGAUACCGCCCAAGAGUUCAUAUCGACGGCGGUGUUUGGCACCUCGAUGUCGGCUCAUCACAUCCUGGGGCUGAAGUAGGUCCCAAGGGUAUGGCUGUUCGCCAUUUAAAGUGGUACGCGAGCUGGGUUUAGAACGUCGUGAGACAGUUCGGUCCCUAUCUGCCGUGGGCGCUGGAGAACUGAGGGGGGCUGCUCCUAGUACGAGAGGACCGGAGUGGACGCAUCACUGGUGUUCGGGUUGUCAUGCCAAUGGCACUGCCCGGUAGCUAAAUGCGGAAGAGAUAAGUGCUGAAAGCAUCUAAGCACGAAACUUGCCCCGAGAUGAGUUCUCCCUGAGACUUAGAGUCUCCUGAAGGAACGUUGAAGACGACGACGUUGAUAGGCCGGGUGUGUAAGCGCAGCGAUGCGUUGAGCUAACCGGUACUAAUGAACCGUGAGGCUUAACCUU
rnacentral:rRNA from 1 species